CCCUUAGAUGUCCUGGGCCGCACGCGCGCUACAAUGGUACGUUCAACAAGUCACCUGGCCUGAAAAGGAAUCGGGUAAUCUUUUUAAUACGUACCGUGCUUGGGAUAGAUCUUUGCAAUUAUAGAUCUUGAACGAGGAAUUCCUAGUAGGCAUAAGUCAUCAGCUUGUGCCGAUUACGUCCCUGCCCUUUGUACACACCGCCCAUCGCUCCUACCGAUUUCGAGUGAUAAAGUGAACCUUCUGGACCGGGAGGAUUUAAAUCAUUUCCGGGAAGUUAUGUAAACUUUAUUACUUAGAGGAAGGAUAAGUUGUAACA
rnacentral:rRNA from 1 species